rnacentral:rRNA from 1 species
CCAAUAGCGUAUAUUAAAGUUGUUGCAGUUAAAAAGCUCGUAGUUGAAUUUCGGGGUUAGUAGGUUGGUCAUGCCUCUGGUAUGUACUGGUCUCACUGAUUCCUCCUUCCUGAUGAACCUCAAUGCCAUUAAUUUGGUGUUUUGGGGAAUUUGGACUGUUACUUUGAAAAAAUUAGAGUGUUUAAAGCAAGCUAACGCUU